rnacentral:rRNA from 1 species
GUGCUAAGGUAGCAUAAUCAUUUGGUUUUUAAUAGGGAUCUGGAAUGAAAGGUCAAACAAAUAUUAGUUUCUUCUUUGUAGGGAGUGAAGUUAAGAUUUAAGUAAAAACGCUUAGAUUAUUUGUGGGACGAUAAGACCCUAAAAGCUUUACUUUAUAUACUAAGAUAUUUUUAGUACUUAGUAUAACAGGAGAUUGGUUGGGGUAAUGGCUCUAAAUAAAUUAGGGUGUUUUUUUAUAAUAUAAUUAAAUAAAGAUCCUUAUUAUUAGGAUAAUAAUCGUAGUUACUUUAGGGGUAACAGGGUAAUUAUUUUAUGGAGCUCUUAUCAAUAGAAUAGAUUGCUACCUCGAUGUUGAAUUAAGAUUUCGACGGGAUGGAAAAGGUCCGUUGAGGGUUUGUUCAACC